rnacentral:lncRNA from 10 species
AGAGCAAGGUCCACUCUUCAACACUGGAGAUGAACAGUUUGAUAGUCACUCUGUCUGUUCCUGAUCCUUGCAAUGGGGAUGGAGGCUGUGGUGGAGGCUCCACCAAUCAGACACUCUGUCCCAGGACUUUGAAUCAAGACAGAGGAGAGUCCACUUUUGUGGCAUCAGCAUCAAAUCUCCAAGACCAGGAAUAUCAUGAACAAAGGACUAAGAGAAGGAUUUUCUUCAGCUUCUCUGGAAACUUGCAGCCUUCUAAAUGCUUUAUGCUUCAGUUUCUUCAUCCAUAAAAUAGGGAAUUAGCAAAAUUAAUGAACCCUUGUCUUUCAUAAAAUGUCUUAUAGGAUAGGUGCUGUGCAAGUAAUAUGCUAUGGAAUGAUAAUGUUUUGUUAGUGUUUAUAAACAUAAUUUGAAUUUUCCAUUAAUUGGAAUUAAUCCUGUUUAUAAGAAAAGACCUUUCCAAUUAAAUCACUGGUGUGCGACUUCGGGUGGUUGAAGCCUUUAUUUUGCUUUACUUCUAAUAAAAUGGGUUCCUACUUUAUUUUGGGUAAAUUCUUAAUUUGCAUCUUGCUUUGGCCAGUUUCAGUGAAG